GACGAACGCUGGCGGCGUGCUUAACACAUGCAAGUCGAACGGAAAGGCCCUGCUUUUGUGGGGUGCUCGAGUGGCGAACGGGUGAGUAACACGUGUGUAACCUGCCCUAGACUUUGGGGUAACUUCAGGAAACUGGGGCUACUACCGGAUAGGAGCCCCUGCUGCAUGGUGGGGGUUGGAAAGUUUCGGCGGGUGGGGAUGGACUCGCGGCUUAUCAGCUUGUUGGUGGGGUAGUGGCUUACCAAGGCUUUGACGGGUAGCCGGCCUGAGAGGGGGACCGGCCACAUUGGGACUGAGAUACGGCGCAGACUCCUACGUGAGGCAGCAGUGGGGAAUAUUGCACAAUGGGCGGAAGCCUGAUGCAGCAACGCCGCGUGCGGGAUGACGGCCUUCGGGGUGUAAACCGCUUUCGCCUGUGACGAAGCGGGAGUGACGGUAAUGGGUAAAGAAGCACCGGCUAACUACGUG
rnacentral:rRNA from 1 species